UACAGAGGUCUCAAGCGUUGUUCGGAUUCAUUGGGCGUAAAGGGUGCGUAGGCGGCGCGGUAAGUCGGGUGUGAAAUCUCGGAGCUUAACUCCGAGCCUGCGUUCGAUACUGGAUGGCUAGAGUCUGGUAGGGGGAUCUGGAAUUCCUGGUGUAGCGGUGGAAUGCGCAGAUAUCAGGAGGAACACCCGUGGCGAAGGCGGCUCUCUGGGACGGUACUGACGCUGAGACGCGAAAGCGUGGGGAGCGAACAGG
rnacentral:rRNA from 1 species